GUGCUUGUAGCUCAGUAGGUAGAGCGUCAGAUUGUUAAUCUGGGGGUCGCAGGUUCAAUCCCUGCCUAGCACG
rnacentral:tRNA from 1 species